AUCUCUGUGGUUCAGUGGGUCAGUGCAUCUGGCUGUUAGCCGGAAGGUUGAUGUUUUGAGCCCACUCAGGGACA